GAUGAACGCUGGCGGCGUGCCUAAUACAUGCAAGUCGAGCGAACGGACGAGAAGCUUGCUUCUCUGAUGUUAGCGGCGGACGGGUGAGUAACACGUGGAUAACCUACCUAUAAGACUGGGAUAACUUCGGGAAACCGGAGCUAAUACCGGAUGAUAUUUUGAACCGCAUGGUUCAAAAGUGAAAGACGGUCUUGCUGUCACUUAUAGAUGGAUCCGCGCUGCAUUAGCUAGUUGGUAAGGUAACGGCUUACCAAGGCAACGAUGCAUAGCCGACCUGAGAGGGGGAUAGGCCAAACUGGAACUGAGACACGGUCCAGACUCCUACGGGAGGCAGCAGUAGGGAAUCUUCCGCAAUGGGCGAAAGCCUGACGGAGCAACGCCGCGUGAGUGAUGAAGGUCUUCGGAUCGUAAAACUCUGUUAUUAGGGAAGAACAUAUGUGUAAGUAACUGUGCACAUCUUGACGGUACCUAAUCAGAAAGCCACGGCUAACUACGUG
rnacentral:rRNA from 1 species